rnacentral:rRNA from 1 species
AUUGAACGCUGGCGGCAGGCCUAACACAUGCAAGUCGAGCGAGCGGCGGAUGGGAGAGUAAUGUAUGGGCAUCUGCACGAUAGCGGGGGGUAACUACUGGCAACGGUGGCUAAUACCGCAUACUAUUGGAUGACCCCAUAUGGGAUUAGGUAGUAGGUGGGGUAAAGGCUCACCUAGGCGACGAUCUCCAGCUGGUCUGAGAGGAUGAUCAGCCACACUGUGACUGAGACACGGCCCAGACUCCUACGGGAGGCAGCAGUGGGGAAUAUUGCAAAAUGGGCGCAAGCCUGAUGCAGCCAUGCCGCGUGUAUGAAGAAGGCCUUAGGGUUGUAAAGUACUUUCAGCGGGGAGGCGUUACCCGCAGAAGAAGCACCGGCUAACUCCGUGCCAGCAGCCGCGGUAAUUC